UGUAGAUGCCUGGGGCUUCAGAUUCCUCUAGUGUCCAUGUUUUUUUGUCUUCCCUCUUUACUGCAGUCUUCCCUAAGUGCUCCUUCUCAGAGAGAGCCUAUAGUUUGCAGUCCUUUCGAUAGAAUCCAUUUUAUUAAACUAGAGUUGUGUUAGUAUGCUGGGAAGGUGUGGAAAGAGUAUAUUCUAUAAUCUUGGAUUAAAUCUGUCUUUUCAUGGGCUUGUGUCUCAGGACCAUUACCUUCACAUAUAUUUUAUGUCCCUCUGCCUCCUACUCAGUUUCCUGGCUCCAACAUUGUCAGUUAAUUUCCUGACCUGUUGCCUCUGGUUUUUGUUUUCCCCUUAGUUGAGACAAGAAGGCUGGAAGGGGGCUGAUUUGGAAGAAAUUUUCUUCCUCUCACUGAGAAUAAAGCUUUAGCAGAAUCCUUUCCCCUAAAGAAUAGGCUUUUGUUAUGGAGAAGACUGUGGGUGUAUUUUACAAUGUUUAUUCAUCCCCUUUCCCUGCCAGAGCCAGAGGGGAUAUUCCAUGUAUCUUCCUGGAAAUAAAUCCCAUGCAACUGUGGACCGCCCCCAAAGAUCACAAGCUAUACCUCUGACUCAGCCUUUGGCAGUUCGUCAAAAUCACCCUGUGAGUGUUCCUACCAGUUUACAGCUCCAGCUGCUUCUGCUCCAGAAUCAGACAACCAAGGAUAAAGUGACACCUGACAACCCUGCCAGCUCAGCACAUCUGGAAGCACUAAGCAUCUGACUCAGGGACUGCGCAUCCAGCUUGUGGGUGUGUGCUACCCAGCGUGCUGUUAAGACCAACCCACAAGGAGUCAUUUUCACCUUGAAAACUCCAGAUGUUCACGUGAAGCUUAGAAAUAAAACUCUCCAGGAAAGGCUCUCCUGGAUAAUCGUGAAGAAAUCAGGAGACCCCUCUGGAAUUAGGCAUCCCACACUGAUUCAUCCUCUGACGGGAAGGAGCCAUCCGUAUGACUCACACCACGGUGAACAUUUUCAGUGCCUCUGGGGAAGAACAAAUCGACUCCACCACUUCUACUGCUCUGUGCUCUAGGAGGCUGAACUGCAUGGAUCACGUCAAAGAUGUCCUUGUCCUCAGGCUUUCUGUCGAGUUCAUCAGUGGAAGGCUCAGACGGGUGUUGGAGAAAAGGAAGAGAGGGAGGUAAGGAGCGAUGAUCCUUGUUCAUCCAAGCUGGGCCCCAGGGAUUGCCUCUGUCUUUGCCCCAAAUGCCACCACCUACCUGCCAAAGGCGUUCUUUCCAGACCCACUGUCUGGGUUCUGCUAACCAUUUCCUGCUGUUGCCCUUUAGGCGAAUGAGUGGAAAAGGUCCCUGAUGUUGCUGGAUCCACGGUACUGACUUAACUUACUGAUGUCCAUAAACCUGCCCCUACAUUUUAAACAGCACUGUUUACUCAGUUACCCACUUCCAUCUCUCUGCUGCCAAUCCCUUACUGAUGUGCUGUGUUUGGGUUAAAUUUUUUUCAUCCUGAUAUGUUUUAAUUCUGACUCUUUGCUCUUUUUCUUCUAUUUUGCUGUAGGAUCUCUAUCAGUUUUGUUUUCAGAAGAAACCUUAAAGGGAAGCAGUCUAUUUUAGUUCUACUUGAGAUUAGCUUAGUGUCUUAAUACCAUUCUUAGAACCAUGUUAAACUACUAAAAUCUAUUAAAAAAUAAUUUUUGAUCCCUCUUUCUUCAAGAUAAGGGAUUUGGCCCUUUUCUCACCUCUCCUACUCUCUCUGUGUUAGUUAAUUUACUCCGGGGUUGUAAAGUCUUUCUUCAUUUAAAAAUAUUUCAUUUGUUUAUUUACUUUAUACUGGGGUUUCAUGGCUAUUUAUUUUUCUUUCUUUAAAGUCUUUGUUGUACAUCCUAAUGAUGUAACAACAACAACUGAAUAUCAAGAGAAGCUAGUUCAUGGGCAUCAGAGGUAGUCUUGGUGACUGCAGGUCAAAGAGAAUGGGGACAUGCUUAACUGACCUUAGUUUAAAUAAUUUCUGAUAUUCUUAAUAAGCAUAAUUAGCAAAAGUAAGAAAGAAGCAAGGAGUGGAAACUGCUACAAAGCUUGGUCUUUCAGUGAUUUUUGAAGGAGGGGAAGAUCUGGUAGAUAAUUCAGGGAAGUCUUACAAGUUAAAUAGAAACUUUAGUUUUUGUGUCAUGUGUUGGUAUUUUCAAGAGUCUGGGCCCAUUUUUUUUCCUACCCUGCAAUUCCAUGACUUGACCAUAGUGUUUUUGUUUUGUUUUGUUUUGUUUUUUUUCUCUUUUUAAUGAUGUAGUUUUAACUUCAUUCCAUGAGCGCCAUUGGCUGUAGCCAUUUUGGCCAUCCGCCCCCAUUGCAAACACAUCAAACGGGGAAGUGCAGGAUUCAGCCAAAGCAUGGCAUCUCUGAAGAAGUAUAAAUAUCUGUGUCUUGAAACCCAACAGUAUUUCCCACAGCAACAUUUUCAUGAAGUUGCCUGUUUAGCCUAAAACUUUAAGUAAGAAGUGUUUUUUUAAAUGUCUUUGGUUUGAUUAGUUUUCAUUAUUUAUGACAUUUCUUGAGUCAUUUAUUUGAAUUGCUCUUCAAAUUCUGCAUUAUUAUUUAUUUUCUGUGCAA